rnacentral:rRNA from 1 species
UUCCGGUUGAUCCUGCCGGAGGCCACUGCUAUUGGGAUCCGACUAAGCCAUGCGAGUCGAGAGGGUUCGGCCCUCGGCAGACUGCUCAGUAACACGUGGAUAACCUACCCUCAGGCGGAGAAUAACCUCGGGAAACUGAGAAUAAUACUCCAUAGAUCUAGGAUGCUGGAAUGCGCCUAGAUUGAAAGCUCUGGCGCCUAAGGAUGGGUCUGCGGACUAUCAGGUUGUAGUCAGGGUAAAGACCUGACUAGCCUACGACGGAUAUGGGUUGUGAGAGCAAUAGCCCAGAGACGAUAUCUGAGACACGAUAUCGGGCCCUACGGGGCGCAGCAGGCGCGAAAUCUUCACAAUGUGCGAAAGCACGAUGAGGGGAUCCCAAGUGCUGGCACGUAAGUGUCAGCUGUUUCUUUGUCUAAAAAACAGAGAGAGUAAGAGCUGGGUAAGACGGGUGCCAGCCGCCGCGGUAAUACCUGCAGCUCAAGUGGUGGCCGCUAUUAUUGGGCCUUAAACGUCCGUAGCCGGUUUAGUAAAUGCUUGGGUAAAUUGUGUAGCUUAACUAUACGAAUACCGGGUAGACUGCUAAACUUGGGACCGGGAGAGGCUAGAGGUACUCCUAGGGUAGAGGUGAAAUUCUGUAAUCCUAGGGGGACCACCAGUGGCGAAGGCGUCUAGCUAGAACGGGUCUGACGGUGAGGGACGAAGCCCUGGGGCGCGAACCGGAUUAGAUACCCGGGUAGUCCAGGGUGUAAACGCUGCUUGCUUGAUGUUAGUUGGGCUCCGAGCCCAACUAGUGUCGGAGAGAAGUUGUUAAGCAAGCUGCCUGGGAAGUACGGUCGCGAGACUGAAACUUAAAGGAAUUGGUCGGGGGAGCACAGCAACGGGCUGAGCGUGCGGCUUAUGGGACUCAACGCCGGA